UUCUUCCACGCUGAUCCCUGCAGGAGGAUCGAUUUUCCCACGCCGGGGGCGCCCCAGUCUGGUUGCGCCAGUCCGUUCGGGGGGAUCCUAAGGCCGUAGGAUCGCGCGCAUUUGGCCAAUAUAUGUUUUUUAAAAAUUCUUUUAAAAAGGGAAUUUUACCCAGGAGUGAAAGGAGAAGGAGCAGCAACAGCAGCAGGUCCCUUUCCACGUGCAAGCCGGGGAUGAUGGGGAGAGGGGCUGACUUUUUACACCACCGAGCAACAUUCCCACCAAGGAUGCACUCCGAUGUUUUGACGGCAGAAAAAACUUCCUAAUAUAGGUAGCCCUUGACUUAAGACCACAAUGGAAUCCGAAAGUUCUGUGGCUAAGCGAGACAGUUGCUAAGCCAAAAAUGGUGGUUCUCUUAAUUCAAUAUUCAGAGGGAUACAAUCAAGAUCAAGGGAGGUCCUAAUACCACUCUAUAAAGCCUUAGUAAGGCCACACCUAGAGUCCUGCAUCCACUUUUGGUUACCACGCUAUAAAAAAAGAU